GUGACUGUAGAGUAGGCCUAUUAUUGAUCAGUUUACAGUUGUUUAUAACACGAUGUAUUGUGAUAGAUAAUAUUACACUUAAAUUAUAAGCUGAUGUUCAGUUGAAGAUUCAACUCCAGAAAGAUAUUUUAACAAGCAACUUGAAAUGAAAUGAAACACUUUCCCACAUUUCUUAGUCUGGAAGUUUCUGCCAUUUUUAUACUUUGUCUUUUCCAAGCAAGACAUCAAACAAAUGGAGAACUUUCUACACGUUCACUACGUCUCGUACACAUAGUAUACAGACAUGGAGAUAGGAGUGCCAUGCGUGGAUAUCCUUUGGAUCCCAUUAAAGAAUAUAACUGGUCACAAGGAUACGGACAGUUAACAAAACUUGGGAUGGAUCAAGAAUACCGACUUGGACAAUCUGUGAGAGACUUGUACAUAAAAAAAAUUGGCUUCUUGUCAACUAACUACAAUAGAAGUAAGGU